rnacentral:rRNA from 1 species
AGUGAACGCUGGCGGUAGGCCUAACACAUGCAAGUCGAACGGCAGCACAGUAAGAUCUUGCUCUUACGGGUGGCGAGUGGCGGACGGGUGAGGAAUACAUCGGAAUCUUCUUUUACGUGGGGGAUAACGUAGGGAAACUUACGCUAAUACCGCAUACGACCUACGGGUUAAAGCAGGGGAUCUUCAGACCUUUCGCGAUUGAAUUAGCUGAUUUCGGAUUAGCUAGUUGGCGAGGUAAAGGCCCACCAAGGCAACGAUCCGUAGCUGGUCUGAGAGGAUGAUCAGCCACACUGGAACUGAGACACGGUCCAGACUCCUACGGGAGGCAGCAGUGGGGAAUAUUGGACAAUGGGCGAAAGCCUGACGGAGCAACGCCGCGUGAGUGAAGAAGGCCUUCGGAUUGUAAAGCUCUUUUAUUGGGGAAGAACAGAAGUAGGUGAAUCCCUCCACGUCUUGACGGUACCCAAAGAGAAAGCACCGGCUAACUUCGUG